rnacentral:rRNA from 1 species
UACGUAGGGGGGCUAGCGUUGUCCGGGAAUCAUUGGGCGUAAAGCGCGUGUAGGCGGUUCGGUAAGUCCGCUGUGAAAGUCGGGGGCUCAACCCUCGGAUGCCGGUGGAGUACUGUCGGGGCUUGAGUACGGAAGAGGCGAGUGGAAUUCCUGGUGUAGCGGUGAAAUGCGCAGAUAUCAGGAGGAACACCAAUUGCGAAGGCAGCUCGCUGG